GUCCCCAAACCACACUUGAUUCAGCCCAGUUCCCACAGUUUUUCUGAGAGGAGGGAAAAAAAAAAAACCCAGCUCGACCCAUCGUUUGUGGCUCCCUUCAGAAUCAAUCCACACCAUCGCUUCCAAAAUCUCGUUGAUAAACACCUUGCGAUUUUUUUGAUCGCACCUAAAAAUUCCUUCUGUCUGUUGCCUGGAGCUACUGUAUCAUAUCUGAUCCAUCUUCGAGCCCAAAUCUCGUUCGCUUUUCCGAGCCUUUUGAUUUUGAUCCCGUUUUUAUCCCCCCAAAUCCACUAACCCCCUGCAAAGAUUUGAUCUUUACGACUCCAAAGCCCAGAUUUUUUUUUUCCUUGGGUUUGUGCCGUCGGCGGGGGCGCGAAAUCCCUCAAGCUGGCGACCCCGGCGCGGCCAUGGACCUGCCCGAGAGCUCUGUCCGCCGCCGUGUCGGCCCCGUCGACCGCGAGGAGCUGGUGCGCGUCAUCGAGGAGUCGCUCUACUCGCUCGGGUACCGGCGAGCGGCGGCCGAGCUCGAGGCGGAGUCCGGCGUGCCGCUGUACCCGCCGGAGCACGACCGCCUGCUGCUCGACGUGAUGGCCGGCCGGUGGGACGCGUGCGCGGAGACCGUCCGCUCGGUCGCUGGCGUCGGCGACGCGGACCGCGCGGUCGCGGAGUUCCUCUUGUGGAGGGGCCACUACCUGGAGCUGCUGGGGACCGGCGGCGACGCCGGACUGCGGCGUGCGAGGGAGGUGCUCCGGCGCCGGAUUGCCCCGCUCGCUGUCGAUAGGAGGUGCGUGCACUGGCUGGCGUGCGCCAUGGUCUCGUGCGAGGGGGCAGUCGCUCCGGAUGCCGUGGUUGGGUGGAGGAUUGCGGUGUUCUUGGAUUUAGUUGAGGUGCUGCCACCAUGGUUCCAUGUGCCCACCGGGCGGUUGGAGCAUUUGGUGGAGAGUGCGGUUACUAAGCAAGUAGCAUCGUGUAUAUAUCACAAUUUGCCGGAUGAGAUCACUAUGCUUGAAGAUCAUAAGUGCCAUGAACAGCACAUCCCCUCCGAGUGUGCACAGAUAUUAUGUGGUCAUAAUAAUGAAGUUUGGUUUGUAAGGUUCUCUAAUAAUGGAGACUACCUGGCAUCAUCUUCAAGUGAUUGCACCGCCAUAAUUUGGAAGGUGGAAAAGGAUGAUACGUUGACCAAGAAGCACUGCCUACAGGGUCACCACAAACCAAUUUCCUUCGUUGCCUGGAGCCCAAAUGAUAGAAUGCUGCUCACUUGUGGUACUGGUGAAUUUUUGAAACUGUGGAACGUUGAUACUGGUGAAUGUAAUCUUAAAUUCCGAGGUUCAGCAGACUACAUCAUCAGUUCAUGUGCAUGGUUUCCUAAUUCAGAGAAAAUAGUAUGUGCCAGCUCUGAGCCUGGAAGUUCGCCAAAUAGGAUCUUCACUUGUGACCUAGAAGGUCAAGAGCUGGAAGUAUGGGCUGGAGAUAGAAUACCUAAAGUUAGUGAUCUUGCUGUGACACCUGAUGGCCGGCACCUAAUCUUUGUAUCUUGCAACGAUAUCUGGAUUCGAGAACUUCCAAAGGGGAGGGAAUGGAGAUUUCGUGAGAAGCAGGCGAUUUCAUCUCUUUCUCUCUCAGGUGAUGGACAGUCACUCAUUGUCAACCUUAGCAGCCAGGAAAUUCAUUUGUGGAAAAUUAAUGAAAGUUCUACUGUUCCUGAAAAGUUCAAGGGGCACAAGCAAGAGAAGUUUGUGAUUAGGUCUUGCUUUGGGGGUUCAAAUUCCUUGUUCAUUGCUAGUGGCAGUGAGGAUUCACAGGUAUAGUUUUUUGCUAGACUUUGGUCCUGCUUUUGAUGAAAUGUUUAGCCAACUCCAGCUUCUGUUUUAAUUUCCUGCCUAACCUAAAUUCCAUGGUUGGUUAUGCAUAUGGAACAUAACCACCUACCCAAGUAUGAGGCAUGUCUAAACAAACUGAUGGCUUAAAGCAACACCAUGCUUCCAGGGCUAAUGCGCAUGAUGCUAGCAAUUGUAGGUCUACAUUUGGAAAAGGCACCUCGAAACGCCAAUAAAGGUUUUGCAUGGCCACACAAUGAUCGUGAACUGUGUAAGCUGGAAUCCUGCGAGGCCUCAUAUGCUGGCUUCUGCUAGUGAUGACCGCACAGUUCGAAUAUGGCUGGCACGCAAGCCUGGAAGCACAUGCAGUUGAAGUGUCAAAUUUUGUAUGUUAUUGUAAAUAGUUGUACAUUUAGACUGUUUGCACAAAUCUGUUUGGGAUUAAUUCCCCCCGUUAAAGAGUUUGUAGCUUACCUUCAGAGUUCAGAAAUAAACCUCGACAGCCAGAGGUAGCAGGGUGCUGUGUUCCUUAUGUAUGCCUGGUUACCCGGUGAGUUUUGAUACUUGUGUGCAUGACACAGAUGCAUCAGAACUUUGUAGUACAUUUUAUGAGCCGAUACUAGUUAAAAUUGCUGAGAUAUGCCUUCUGUUGGUGUGAA